rnacentral:lncRNA from 1 species
GAAGAUGUUUAAAAACUUUUAUUUAUUAUUUUAUAUUUUUACUUUUAUUUUAUUUUAAGACUACUUUUUAUUUUUCUUUCACCUUAUUUUUAUUAGGACUUAUAAUUAUUAUUUUACAAUUUUUAAUUUCGGCUAAUUCAUAUUGAGUACUUACUCUUCCUUAUAUAUUUCCUAAAAGAGUCCUGAUUCUAUCACCAUUAUAAAGAGCUCCAAAGCUCACUAUUACUCAGGAACUUGAAACUCCACUAGGAAAGGUUCUCCACGAC